rnacentral:lncRNA from 1 species
UUCAGAGGGAAGAGCUUACAGAAAACACCAAAGUUAGAAAAAGUCUGAAGUUCUAUUCUUUGAAAUUCAUCAUGAACCAGAUGAAACUGAGCUCUUAGACUAAAGCAAGAGCAGAGGAAGUAGGACCCAGUUAACUGAGGACUAUGCGUAAGUAAAAUUAAAGUCUCUCUCUCCUUGCCUUUAAGCCUGCCUUAAAAUAUUUAGAUUGAGAGAUAGAGAGAGAGAGGGAGAGAGAGAGAGAGAGAUAACAUAA